CUGCCUGAGGUUUCCUUGUGUCCCGGACUCUGCUGUUUUCUUUUGUCUAAUUUGUCCAUUUCUGCACUUGGCAAUUUCUUCGGGAACUAACUUGAAUCUACUUCUCCCUUGUCUGUAAUAGUCUCUUCUCUCUCUCUCUCUCUCUCUCUCUCUCUCUCUCUCUCUCUCUCUCUCUCUCUCUCUCUCUCUCUCUCACACACACACACACACACACACACAGUCUUCUUUUCUUCCUCCUAGCUAUCUCUGAUUCUUCCAGCUGGCUCUGGCCUGUCCCUGGCACCUCCCCGCUACCUACUGAUCCGACGGCGCCCAAGGCGGUAUAGGCUGGUAAGACUGCUCCCGGGAAGGAGGCUCCGGGAUGAUCCACGCGGCCGCGCCCCGCACCCACCGGCGGCGCCACGGAGACGCAGAGUUCUCCAGAUCCUCCAAGCGCCGUCGGCGCCACCACUCCAGACACUGUUCACGAGGCCUCAAAGCGUGGAGGCGGUGGCCCGGGGCCGACUCUCGGGUGACCGCCAAUUUGGUCCCAAGACACUUCAGGAUCUCGCAACGGAUGGAGGACAGCGCGGUUCCAAGAGGACAAGAGGGGAUAUAAACUGAAGUUCAUCAGCACAGUGAAGUUUUAUUGUAUUUCCGGUCCCUAAAAGAGAAGCCGGCAGCCAGGCAGACUCCCUCCUUAUCUCCGAGUUUCCACGCCAGGGACACACACGUGGCCAAGCGGACACUUGCCUUCGGGAGCAGGGAGGGAGGGAGCCGGCUCCGACCUACUCUCCCUCACUGGCUCAGGUAAGUCUAAGAGGCCUCUGAUAGUUGUGGCGUCAACUGAGCCACAACCUGUGAGGAUGUGCGAAGUGACUUUGUAGGGAUGGAAGAGAGCGGGAGACAAGGUUGUACUCAGACUAGAGGAAGCAAACUUGUUCUCUGCCUUUCCCCAGCCAGGUCCUCAACGUCUCCACUUCUUUGUAAAUGCGGAAAAGAGUGGCCUACCUGGGGCUGUCCAGCAGCUGUGAAACCAGAGUCCUAUCUUAUGCCAGCAGAGUGACUGUUUCAGCCUUAUUGUUUGUGCCCUAGAAUUCACGGUGCCUUCUAACCCUGACUUUCUCCAUCAAUUUUUUUUUUCUCAGUUCUACUUGGCUCCACUCUCCUGUCUACUCCCCUGUCUCAAGGCUGGGGUUGCCUUAGAGUUGGAUAUCUGAGAGCUGCCUGGGAGUCUGGGUAACCCUGGAGCCCAGGGACUGGCCAGAUGGUGAGUGUGUGCGAAUCUUCCUAGCAGUUUGAAGUUAAGAAUCCUUUUCAUCUGGGGAGCCCUCCAACUCCGGUCUGUGCUGAGAGGCCAAGUAGGUAUCUCACAAAGGCCCUGGCCGGGCUUAGACCUGGGUCUUGGUCAGGAUUCUUGAAGUCAGUUCUGGAUUUCUGGGUCCAGUACUUCAAAUUCCUGGUUAACUAGCAGCGGACCUCUGUUAGGAAAAAGUGGAAGAAAACAAGUUAAGCAGAGGAAGUAAAUUGUGUGGCCAUUUUAGCUCACGGGGGUGCCCCAGUGAGCCCUCACCCGCCAGGCAGCUUGAGCCGGGACUGUUGAGUGAAGUAGGUAGUUUCAUGUUGUUGGGCCUGGCUUUCUGAACACAACAACAUCAAACCACCUGAUUCAUGGCAGUUACUGCUUCUUGCUUAGCUGGGGGAGUUCGGUAGGGUUCCUCAGGACUGGUGUGUCAGUUACCCCUGCAAAAUAAUAAAACAGGCUUGAGGGUCCUCA
rnacentral:lncRNA from 1 species